CCCCGCGGCCCCGGCCCCGGCGGCGUCCCCGGGCCUCCCUGCCGCCUUGGUAGCGCCGGUCCGCACUCGGCCUGACCCGGGACGUCACGCCGCCUGUCUGUUUUCUCAAUGAUAACUUGGCAGGAGAAGGGGGAAGCGGCCGGGUUUUUCCUGGGCUCGUUACCGGAGGAAUUACUCAUCCAGUGAGGAAGGUGUCUUUAAAUCUCUGAGACAAUGCCACAACACGCGCAAGAGGAAAUCUCAGCGCACAGCCAAUGCAAUGAAAUAAAGGAUCCUCUAUGGGAAUUGGUUAGUAGUGCCAAUGUUUAAUAUUUGUCAUAACAACCACCGACUGUUUUGUUUUUUGUUCUAACAAUGUGAAUUAUGCAUUAAACAUUAAUACAAGCGAGUGUACUUUU